rnacentral:misc_RNA from 1 species
UUUCCGUAGGUGAACCUGCGGAAGGAUCAUUGCACACACGAAGCAGCAAACUAGCGAACUGGGUUGGGCCCCCACCUACGACAAACAAGAGGGGAAGCAUCAGGAGGUGCGGCUGUCGACGGCAAGGUCCCGACCUUCGGGUCCCCGCAGUGGUUCCCGCAAGCGGGCUGAUCAUGUCGCCGUCUGGGUGUCCCGCGCGGGCUCUCGCCUUGCCUUAGGGUUGGGCGACGCGGGCAUUCUCCUCCCUUCGAUGGCGUCGUCCCCUCCUCCGGGAGAGCGACACGCCUCGCGUGCCGUUUUCAACUUUGCACCAUGUACAUCACCAGUGACUGAGUCUACCUGUUUCCCGGUCCCGCUGCCCCCCUCGGUUGGUGCGGGAUUGGUCCAUAGGAACAAGAGUAAAUAAAAACAACUCUCAGCAACGGAUAUCUUGGCUCUU